AUUGAACGCUGGCGGCAUGCCUUACACAUGCAAGCCGAACGGCAGCGGGGGAGAAGCUUGCUUUUCCUGCCGGCGAGUGGCGAACGGGGGAGUAAUACAUCGGAACGUGCCCUGUAGUGGGGGAUAACUAGUCGAAAGAUUAGCUAAUACCGCAUACGACCUGAGGGUGAAAGUGGGGGACCGCAAGGCCUCAUGCUAUAGGAGCGGCCGAUGUCUGAUUAGCUAGUUGGUGGGGUAAAGGCCUACCAAGGAGACGAUCAGUAGCUGGUCUGAGAGGACGAUCAGCCACACUGGGACUGAGACACGGCCCAGCCUCCUACGGGAGGCAGCAGUGGGGAAUUUUGGACAAUGGGCGAAAGCCUGAUCCAGCAAUGCCGCGUGUGUGAAGAAGGCCUUCGGGUUGUAAAGCACUUUUGUCCGGAAAGAAAUGGCUCUGGUUAAUACCUGGGGUCGAUGACGGUACCGGAAGAAUAAGGACCGGCUAACUACGUGCCAGCCGCCGCCGUAA
rnacentral:rRNA from 1 species